GGUUAUGGCUCAGAGGUAGAACACGUGCCUAGCAAGUGUGAGGCACUGGGUUCGAUUCUCAGCACCA
rnacentral:tRNA from 1 species